rnacentral:lncRNA from 1 species
CUCACUUUCGGCCAGGCACAGCAGCUCACGCCUGUAAUCCCAGCAGUUUGGGAGACCGAGGAGGGCGGAUCAUGAGGUCAGGAGAUCGAGACCAGCCUGGCCAACACAGAGGAACCCCAUCUCUACUAAAUAUACAAAAAUGAGCUGGGCAUGGUGCGUGCACCUGUAAUCUCAGCUACUCGUGAGGCUGAGGCAGGAGAAUCACUUAAACCCAGGAGGUGGAGGCUGCAGUGAGCCGAGAUCUCACCACUGCACUCUAGCCUGGGUGACAGACUGAGACUCUUGUCUCAAAAAAAACACUUUAAGUGGCUAAUGCAGCACAAGCUCUUUUGAAACACUUUCGAUUUUCUUCGUGCCUCUAAGGCCAUUCUUUGGAUUUGAAUAGGUGAGCAUGUUUCUCACAAGAAGGGAAAUAAUUAACCAAACUGUUAGUUUAUUAAGCUUAACCUUGCUGGCUCUGCAUGGCUGCUGAAAGCUGGGGAGAUGCCAGACCUGUGUCCUCCUGGCUGGCUCUAGCGGGGUCACUACAGGAGGAGGAGCCUUGGAAUCCAGCAUAAGUGGCUUCAGGAGACUGUGGUGUCCCUCGGACAGCAAGAGCCCUCCCUAGCCUUCAGCCACAGCUGGACUCCCUGGCUGUGGGAGUCUCACAAAACCCAAGAGCCUUAGACCUCCCUCCGGCCCGGCAAGGAGGAGCUGGCUUCCAGUUAAAGGACGGAUGUUGUUUUUGCAUCAGCCGGUCUGGUUUAGUACAAGAAAAUAUUGAGAAUACAAGCGCCCAGGCAAACACAGUUGGGUCUUCGGGAACUCCCACAGAAACCUGGCAACGCCGGGUGCUGUCUGUGCCACUUCCUUUGCAGUUCCAUGUUCCUAUGAUACUCGUGCAAGGGUUUCUGCCAGUUUGGAAUAAAAUCCAAAAUUGGGCCAAAAUAUCCAACUGUUGUGACUGGAUCAAGCCUACUGCACUUUCUACAAGCAAGUACCACCUUUUACAAGCUGCACCCAUGGAGACUCACCUAACUGCCUAGGGACAGAGAGCCAGGACCCGCAGUAGGCAGGGACAACGCCCAUGGCUGGCAGAAAACUGAUGAGGCCGAGGCAGGUGGAUCACCUGAGAUCGGGAGAAACCCCGUCUCUACUAAAAAUAUAAAAUUAGCUGGGCAUGGUGGCAGGUGCCUGUAAUCCCAGCUAUUUGGGAGGCUGAGGCAGGAUAACUGCUUGAACCCAGGAGGUGGAUGGUGCAGUGAGCUAGAUCUUCAGCUCUUCAGAUCUUUGCUGGUCUCAAACUCCAGACCUCAGAUGAGCCACCCGUCUCGGCCUCGCAAAGCACUGGGAUUACAGGCGUGACACUGCGCCCG